rnacentral:lncRNA from 1 species
AGUAAGCAUCUUGACAAGCAUAUUUGCAAGCGAUGCAGAUAUGAUCUUGAUCAUAUAUCAGAAAACCCAGUCAAGCAGCGUGGAAACAGCCAAGUUCUGAAUCCUGGAAAGUACUGUUCCCUGUCAUGGCUAUGCUGAAAGAAUCACACAAGAGCAAGCAUCAGAUUUUUGGGACAAGAAAACUCAGCUGGUAGAUUUAUGGAGAGAAUGCAGCACACUGAAAUGUGGUGAAACAUUGUGGCUAUUAAAUAAAAGGUAUGUGCAGUGUAUUUUAAAAUUUACUGUAAAAGGACUAUUCAGUUGUAUUAAUAUCUCUCAAAGCUUUGCAUUUAAAACUAUGUGUUUAACAUUAAGUCAGAUUUUCCAGUGCCAAAAUCAGUGACAUUGUUUCCAGAUGUAGAUUUUAUUAGUUCGUGUCUUGAAUAAUUAAGGGCUGUCAGAUCUGAGCAGAUUCGUAACUGUAUCUGUAUAAAAUGCAAUUUAUUGCCAAACAAUACCAGACCUUCUGUGAAAAUCAGAAAUCACAUAGCUCUAACACAAGCUUUUUAUUUUGGGAAUAAGCUUGAAGGUAUGGACUGAAAACAUCAGAUUUGCCUUCCAAAUGGAAAAGUUGAAACAAACAAAAAGCAGUUCCUGGGAGCAUUCUUUCUAUGUGCUGCUUUAUUUGUCUCCAUGUAUUCCUGUGUUUGCUUGUGAUUUUCCGUUGGAAAACAUGUACAAAUGAUGUGCUUUCCCUAACCUACUCUACUUAGGCUAGACGAGACAGACUGUUCGACUCCAGACCUGAACAUCAGCUGUUUGUAUUCAGCUCAGUACUGCCGAAAGUAGUUUACAGUUGAGUAUAAACUGAACCAUCAGAAAUAGGAUCUCAAUCCUUUGAAAUGUCAGUAGAUCAACUUCACUGCACACACUGGAGCUGAAUUUUCAAUCCAGAAGGCUGCAUCAUUGUCAAAGGCUCAAGAUUAUUUAGGAGGCUUUGCUACGGGACUGAGCCCUGGUUCCUGUGAUUGCAAAUGGAAGCUGUUCUUGACUUUAAGUAUUCGUAAAGCACUGGACAAAGGAGACAAAGAAAAUAUUAACACCCUUUUGACAGACAAGCAGACAGAAGAACAACCUCCUCAGAGUCCUCUGCUGAGGACAGCAGCACAAACUCAGUUUUACAAUCAGGCACUGCAGGAAACAAGGUUUGCAUUUCACAGAAUACAAAAUGACAUGUUACUCUGGAAAACGUCAGAGGGCUACUAUGGGAGAGGUGCCUAUGAAGGCUGCCUUAUGAGACUUCUCUCUCCUACUUUCCCAGGCCAUCUAUAUGCAGUAAAGGCAAGGGACAGCUAG